CAUACUCAUGUCAUCGUCUUCCCAAUCCCGUAGCAAAGAUCCUCCGAUUAAAACGCAAUUGAAAUUUCCCCUCGUAACAUAACUAUAAAUAGGUGUCAAUAAUAUAAGUAUUUUCAUAUUUUCUUCACAAUUUUUCUGGUGCUAUAGUGGCAAGGAAAUCAAUUCCAACUUCCGUCCGAAGUACCCAAAGGGCUAAAAGAGUUUGACUGGCAUUCCAAGCAGAUAAAAAGGGCUUUGGCUCUCCCAUUUUGAAGAAACAUGAAUCCUAGACGGGACAUGCGGAACAACAGAGUUGCACUUUUUGAUGGCAUUGAGGAAGGUGGCAUAAGGGCCUCGUCUUCUUACUCGCACGAAAUUGAUGAGCACGAUAAUGAAAGAGCAAUGGAAGGAUUGCAAGAUAGAGUCAAUCUGCUAAAGAGACUGUCAGGUGAUAUACAUGAGGAGGUGGAUAGCCACAAUCGCAUGCUGGAUCGAAUGGGAAAUGAUAUGGACGCAUCAAGGGGAAUACUCUCAGGAACCAUGGACAAGUUUAAGAUGGUAUUUGAGACCAAAUCAAGCAGAAGAAUGUUUACGCUUGUGGCAUCUUUUGUGGUUAUUUUUCUUGUCAUAUACUAUCUUACUAGGUAACUGGUCUAUGGUGUAUUUGAUACAGCUGCGAGGUUGAUAUGAGAAUUUGGAAGACCCUUUUAAUACAUGGUUACUUACCGUAAACAAUGUACUUCCUACAUGAUUCAAGACAACGUCAAAGGAAUUAAGGAUUUGAAUCUUGAGCUUAAGCUCUAUUCGUUGGAAAGAUAUAAGAGAAUUGUAUAUGCAUUAAUAUAAUUAAUAACAAUGUGACUUAUCAAACUUUAACAGACUAUUUGAUCGUUUGAAUAGAAAUGGAUACAUACUGCCAAUCGGUUAGAACUUUUGAAAUUGUGUUGUUGGUAUCUACGGAUUGCGCAGCUAAACUAUAUUAUAAAGGGGGGCCGCUUAAUGGAAAAAGUGCAUGGUUGCAUAGAACUUUGUGCAAAUUUUCUCAUUGGAGCUCAUAAUAAACUUAUCCAAAAACAACUAUACAGCCUCUGGAGGCUUGAUCUCCAGUACCGUUCACCCCAUUGAUUCACCAUAUGAAGACCAAAUCGGCUUAAAGUUUUUGCGACUUUAUAU